CCGCCUGUAGGGGGUCCCGGUGGAUGUCCGUCCGACGGGUGACGAGGGUGACCCCAGACGAGGCGGCUUAAUUGGGAUGGGAACUGACUGGUGAGGCUUAAUCGUCGACCAAUGGGUCGAAUCUGCAUAAGGAAGGCAACCAGCACACACUCGCAGGCGGGUCGUGGAAUUUUUUUUUGUUUUUUCUCUUGGUCUGCCCCACGUCGAAUUUUGAAGGCAGAAAAUGUCGGUAGGAGGCGAGCAUAACCAGGCCUAACUUAAACCUGUUAAAAUCAACCCGGGUUCGCAGCGCGAUUUUAAAAAACAAGAUUGAAGAAGUCAGAAAUUCUAUCUACAUGCUGCAUAUGAUCAGUCCCAAAAAAAUUCGGAUUGUUCCAGGCACCGUCGAAUACCUGGAAAACGUGUUUAUUGUCAACUCUAUAGGAUCGACCGAAGUCCAUGGAGUUGGGGGCAUUCGAUGUGCUCUAUAGCAGUGAGACGCCACUGUUUUUUUCGCCGUAUAAUUAUUAUGGUGGGACUGAAAAUGAACUUAAGCAAGAUGUGAUGGUGAUACAGUAUGGCUUGGAGAACUUCAAAAGUCGGUUCGCGUCGUGGUUCCAAAGCAGUAACUUUAGGUUCCCUACAUUUACAGAAUGUGGCAUUAAGUACUCAUUUUUUAAUUUGCAAUUUUUAUAUUUCAUUUUUACUUUUUUUCUUACUCUAUACAAGGUAAGAAUUAAUAUAAAGUUUUUUAGCAAUAAUGGUAAUAAAAAAAUAACUCCAAAGACACAAAAUUAGGUAUAUAGCAUAUUGUUUUUCUAUUAUAUAUUUGGAAAUAACUAUUUUUCGUCUUAUUUUAAAAUUCAUAAUAUUAUUUAAUUUUUAUAAUAGUGAUUUUUAAUUAAACGUAAAUUAGUAAAUAAUGUAAUCUUACAUUAUAAUGAGAAUUAAAGUAUUAGUAAUUUAUUUUUGUUUCUCAAAUUAAAUUCAGUUUGUUCCUGCAUAAAUCUUUUUAGUAGUAAACUGCUUUGGAAUGCUGAGGGACAACAGCAGGAUUAGGGCCAUCUUCUAGAUGCCAUCAGGUAGGUGCGCUAGCGUAGUCGUUUAUUGUAGCAUUAUAUCCCUUUUCCCCCUUUUUAAAAAAUGUUUGUAAGACGCCUGAAAUUUGUAUAAGUUAGUUAUAUAAGUAGUUGAAUAAGAAUUGGUGAGACUUGGAAAAUAGAAGAGGCCAGAGAAGAUGGAAGAGGAUUGCUUUGAAAUAGAAGGAAAGGAGAUAGAAGAUGUUUGAGGAAAUAUUGAGGAUUUUGUUGGCUGCAACGGAAGUUUUUUGAAUGAAAUUUGGAGCAACUGUAUUAAGAUGUUAUGGGUAUCUUGGACAUCAAGUUUUAUUUAUUUAUGUAUUAUACAAGCAUAGCUAUUGGUGGAAAUUUAGAAUGGCAGCUGUUAUAACAUGGAUGAAUUAUUAGAAAUACCAAAGAAGUUUUGACAUAAUUUAAACUGGGAAAAGGCUCACAAAUGACCAGUUUAUUCUACAGUAGAUACAGGACAUUAAAUUGACUUCAACAUCGCAGAUAUCUCUCAAAAAUGAUAUCUGUUCGAGUGAUGUACUGGGCGUUAACAGUUGCUGUUACAAAUCUGCAAAUGAGUUAGAACUGUACAUAAGUUUGAUGAAUGCCGGAGGAAUUUUUUGAAUGGAAUGAUACUGAAAAUCUUACCCACAAAUGACCAUUUCAACAUACAAUCAAUAGUACUUAGAUUGAUUGGCCUUCAUUACCAUUGCGCUAUGAAAAUGUAAGCAAUACAAAUUGGUAAUUGAUAUUAAUGGACGUUUUGACAGCUGUUUCCAGUCCAAGUUCCAGUUUUAAUGGAAAAUCUUUAAUGGACACAGGCAUCAACACCUGUUGCCUUUUAAUAAUGGUAUACAAUGGGACAGUUGCUGUUAGAAGUCAACAAGUAGUACUAGUUGCAAAUAAUAUAUUAUGGCGGACAUCAAAAAACUUUAAAUGGAAUGAAACUUGCAGAAAAAGACUCAGAAAGACCAUUUAGGACUGUACUUAAUAGCUGUUAGAGUGGAUGCAGUCCUUCAUCAAUGUGAGCUGAAGAAAUUGAUGGUAAUGGACAUUUUGACAGCUACUAUCACAACUCAACGAACAAGUUGCAGCUUUGAAGGAAAAUAUUUGAUUGGAUACAGAAAAAUGUCAGUCGUUUCAGGAUGCAAAGUUAAUAGAGCCAGGGUUGGGCUCGACAUCUGUUACCUUUUAAUAAUGGUAUACGAAAGGACUAUGCUAUUAGAAACAAAUAAGUUCUACUAGCUGCAACUAAUAUUUAUGGUGGUCAUAAAAGAGAUUUAAAUGAAAUGAAACUCUCUCUCUUGUGCAGAAGAAAUCAAGGAAAACCAUUUUGAACUGCUGUUACUUAAUAGUUGUUAGAGGGGAUCCAGUUCUUCAUCAAUGGUAUACGCUGUUAAAAAUUCACAAGGGUACUAUCUGCAAAUAUUAUGGUGGACAUCAAAAAGCUUUAAAUGGAAUGAAACUUGCAGGAAAAGACUCAGAAAGACCAUUUAGGUCUGUACUUAAUAGCUGUUGAAAAGUGGUUGCAGUCCUUUAUCAAUGAUAUCUCUGUAUUUUCUUAACAAUGGAUAUCAACAGUUGCUCCUACUCCUCACUUUCCUCUUUCUCUAACAUAAAGCAGACUCAAUACUCCUCAAUGCCUCACCAAGGUUCGUUAGCUUCAUUUAUAGUGUUAUUGUUUCAAUAAAUUUGUUUAUUAGUUUUUAUCCUCUUACUAUAAGUAUUUUUUUUAAUUUUUUGGAAAAUUUUGAUAAUUUGGAUAGAAACCUUUUUUUUCUUAAGUUUUUGCAAUAUAAAACACUAGUUAAGAGCAAUACACUUUAUUUUAUGAAUAGGACCAUUAUCUCUGUUGAUAUUGUCUUUAUAUUUAUGCUUUGUGUUGCCUCUAGUUUGAGGGAUGUUUGCUUACUUUUAAAUCAUUCAAAUCAAUGCAAUAAUCUUUAUGGAGGAUAUGUUGAGCAACAUAAUACCAAUCUGUUAUAAUUUUUCAUCUCAAGCUUUUUUCAAUCUCACCUAUCUUAUAUUUACUUCCAUUAGUUCAAUCAUUAAAUUGUUAUUAAAUAAAACUAUAUUUUAUUCUGGAUUUCGUCAAAGGUAUUUUUUAAAAGAAUUUAAAAACAAUCUUUAUAGGCUUGUAUCAUUUUCAAUUUAUUUUUAUCUUGUAUUAUUUAUAUUUUCUUAGCUUCUCUAAGUUUAUUCCAAAUUAUCAAAAUUACAAUUUUUAUACUUGCACUGCGUCACUAUAGCCCUAUGAACACAAGUAUUAUUUUGGUUUUAAAGUUUAUGUUUUUUAAUAUUUAAUUUAUUGUAUUAACGCAAAACUAAAUUUUGUAGAAUUUAACUAACUAUAUCUUCAACCGGAUGGUAAUUUAAUAGUUAACGGUCAAUUUAAUAUUUUUUUCAUUUAUUGAAUACCAAUGUCAACCCAGUAGGAAUGAUUUAUUAGUGUUUAUUUUUUUUUUGAAAUAUUUGUUUUACUAAAUCAAUUUUGGAUACUUGUGUUCAUAUAGUUUUUUUUUGCUUUUGAGAAUUAUUUUUGGUACCUUAAUACAGAUGUUUUUAUUCAAUUUAUAUGAUUUUAAAACAUUUAUGUUUAUAUCUAUUUUGUACUUAAAUUUUAGUGAUAAAGUUUGUUUCUUUAACACAGAGAGCAAUGCACUUCAUGCAUUGUUUUCUUUUUUAUGUGCAGAAUUUUCUUUAUAUACAGUAUGUCCUCAGCACGUCUUUACAAGAGCAAAAGCUUUUUUUUAUUAACAUUUUCAUAAAAAAUACAUUCAUUAUAAAAAUAUUUUUCUUUUUAAUAUUUUCAUUUCAAUUUUUUUAACAAAUAUAUUGUGAGCACACAUUUCAAAAUUGUUUUUCGUAGAAUAUACUGUGCGAUUCAAGUAUAUUUAUACUAAAAUUGUUUUUUUUUAAAUGCAAUGUUUUUUAAUGUAUGUUCUAGUUAAUAUACCACUGUAAUCCAAUCAAAAUUGCAUAAAUUAAUUAUUUUAGAAGAGUUCAAUUGAAAAUAAAUACAUGAAUUUUAACCUUUAGUAUUACUAGUUGCCUAAUCGAUUCUUAUGUAAUAUUGUGGUAAUGUUCUUAUUAUUUAAAAAAUGUGAAAUGAAAUUAUUAAAAACAUUAUUUGUGACAUUUAAAAAAAAUAGCAUGUUUUAUUGGGAGUAAAAUUGACUUUUAGUGUUUCGCCGCAAAAAGUAUAAUGUUUACACCUAAUAAAACAAUAUACCGUAUGAUCGAAAAAAAAAAACGGCGUCCAGUUGGCUUGGAAAUGAACAUCAAU
rnacentral:lncRNA from 1 species